CAUGCGGUGUAAGGCGAGAGGCUUUAUAGCGGCGUGGCUUCAAUUUGAGGU
rfam:Rodentibacter heylii strain 1998236014 contig_21, whole genome shotgun sequence.